ACGUGGUUAUCCAUGGCCAUCUGGGAAAGGCGGAUCAGCCGGGUCUGAGCCGGCUUCAGUUUCCAGCACUGGCAUUCUCCCAUUCCUCGUCAGCUCUCACCUUCAGAGAAGAAGUACCACCAUGUCACGAGUCUUGUCUGCCAGCACCCCAGCCAAAAAUACCAGGCCUGACAUUUAAGGAUUUAGAGAAGGAGGAGACAGCAGGUCAAAGAUGUAUUGUUAGAAGGAAGAGAUUUUUACAGUUUGCUCCUUUUCCAAGGAAGCUGAUGAACCAAUUGGGAUAUACAGUGAGUAAAGUACCUAUCUUCUCUGCCUUGCCUCUACCAGCAUAUGAGCAUCUUUCAAGGUCUCAGUGUCCAGCCUGACGCAAAGCCACAGCUGCUUCCCCUUAUCCCUUUAACUCCAUCUGAGAGUGUAAGGGGUUUGAAAUGUCACCUAAAAGACAGACGGGCUUGGUACGUGCUGUACAGUUUAAUGAAAAAAGUCACGUGGAG